AGUGGCGGACGGGUGAGUAACGCGUGAGAAUCUGCCUUGGGGUCGGGGACAACCACUGGAAACGGUGGCUAAUACCGGAUAAGCCGAUUGGUGAAAGAUUUAUUGCCCUAAGAGGAGCUCGCGUCUGAUUAGCUAGUUGGUGAGGUAAGAGCUCACCAAGGCAGCGAUCAGUAGCUGGUCUGAGAGGACGAUCAGCCACACUGGGACUGAGACACGGCCCAGACUCCUACGGGAGGCAGCAGUGGGGAAUUUUCCGCAAUGGGCGAAAGCCUGACGGAGCAAGACCGCGUGAGGGAGGAAGGCUCUUGGGUUGUAAACCUCUUUUCUCAGGGAAGAAGCUCUGACGGUACCUGAGGAAUCAGCCUCGGCUAACUCCGUGCCAGCAGCCGCGGUAAUACGGAGGAGGCAAGCGUUAUCCGGAAUUAUUGGGCGUAAAGCGUCCGCAGGUGGCGAUUCAAGUCUGCUGUCAAAGCACGGGGCUUAACUCCGUAAAGGCAGUGGAAACUGAAUAGCUAGAGUGCCGUAGGGGUAGAGGGAAUUCCCGGUGUAGCGGUGAAAUGCGUAGAGAUCGGGAAGAACAUCGUGGCGAAAGCGCUCUACUGGACGGCAACUGACACUCAGGGACGAAAGCUAGGGGAGCGAAUGGGAUUAGAUACCCC
rnacentral:rRNA from 1 species